CCUACGGGAGGCUGCAGUGAGGAAUAUUGGUCAAUGGACGAGAGUCUGAACCAGCCAAGUAGCGUGAAGGAUGACUGCCCUAUGGGUUGUAAACUUCUUUUAUAUGGGAAUAAAAUGUUCCACGUGUGGGAUUUUGUAUGUACUAUAUGAAUAAGGAUCGGCUAACUCCGUGCCAGCAGCCGCGGUAAUACGGAGGAUCCGAGCGUUAUCCGGAUUUAUUGGGUUUAAAGGGAGCGUAGGUGGGUUGUUAAGUCAGUUGUGAAAGUUUGCGGCUCAACCGUAAAAUUGCAGUUGAAAAUGGCAGUCUUGAGUACAGUAGAGGUGGGCGGAAUUCGUGGUGUAGCGGUGAAAUGCUUAGAUAUCACGAAGAACUCCGAUUGCGAAGGCAGCUUACUGGACUGCAACUGACAUUGAGGCUCGAAAGUGUGGGUAUCAAACAGGAUUAGAUACCCGAGUAGUC
rnacentral:rRNA from 1 species